AGACCCGAAACCCGGUGAUCUAGCCAUGGGCAGGUUGAAGGUUGGGUAACACUAACUGGAGGACCGAACCGACUAAUGUUGAAAAAUUAGCGGAUGACCUGUGGCUGGGGGUGAAAGGCCAAUCAAACCGGGAGAUAGCUGGUUCUCCCCGAAAGCUAUUUAGGUAGCGCCUCGUGAAUUCAUCUCCGGGGGUAGAGCACUGUUUCGGCUAGGGGGCCAUCCCGGCUUACCAACCCGAUGCAAACUGCGAAUACCGGAGAAUGUUAUCACGGGAGACACACGGCGGGUGCUAACGUCCGUCGUGAAGAGGGAAACAACCCAGACCGCCAGCUAAGGUCCCAAAGUCAUGGUUAAGUGGGAAACGAUGUGGGAAGGCCCAGACAGCCAGGAUGUUGGCUUAGAAGCAGCCAUCAUUUAAAGAAAGCGUAAUAGCUCACUGGUCGAGUCGGCCUGCGCGGAAGAUGUAACGGGGCUAAACCAUGCACCGAAGCUGCGGCAGCGAACGUAUCACUUAAAGCGAUUCAGCGGGUUACGAUUGACGGAGCGAAGCGACGUCAAAGCGUAUACAAAGUCG
rnacentral:rRNA from 3 species